rnacentral:tRNA from 1 species
GUGUGCAUAGCUCAGCUGGAUAGAGCGUCUGGCUACGGACCAGAAGGUCGGGAGUUCGAAUCUUCUUGCACACG